GCCGCGCCCGGCGGAGGCGGACGGGGCUGCGGCGCGAAGGGCGGCCCCGGGCUGCACCCGCGGAGGGACCGUGUCGCGGCCCGCCCGCUUCCUGGUGGCCGCGCUCCGCGUCCCUGGCGGCGUCUGCCAAGACAAAGGGUAAUUAGACGCCUCGUAAUUUGAGCACAGUGGGUGCAGUGCCGUCGUGAGAGGCAGAGAUUUCGGGUGUCAAAAUCCUUCGUCCCCCAGGGCGAGGUCGCCCUCCGGCAGCUCUCCCUCUUUCGGGAGUUCCCCUUGGAUCUCGCUGGCCGCCGCUCACCUGCCGUGGAGCUCUGCGGCCCCGCCGCGCCGGACACAGGACUCGCCUCGCAGGAUGGGUUUACGAGGUGUAAACGCUGGAAAAGAGUUAUGAGGGGGAAAAGAAGUAAGACAAGAUGUGCUACAUUUAAUGCCUGAUUUUAGCUUCCCCACUGCUUGCCUUCUAUAAAAGGUGGUAUCUCACAGCUGGAAAUUCACAGAAUCCUCCUAUCAUAAAAAUGUAGGAAGACAUGGCCAGACUAGUUACCUAAGGUAAUUUCUGUACCCAAAGAUGGAAUUGAAGAGAUAUCAAAAGUAACUUUAAACUAGUCAGCUUUGGUUAAAAUUGCUGUUAAGAAGUGGCAGCACACUGUUUCAUAUGGUCAGCAGAAUCAACAAGGAAUCAACAAAAUCUGUCAGGGAAUUUGGGUAGACGUUGAUCUGCUGGUUUCCAGGGAGGUCUGUGCUGCUAUAGAGAUGCUCUUACCCCUACCUGAGCUACCCAGUUUAAAACAUUUGUGCCUACAUCAAGUACACCCACACUUCUGGCCUCAGUUUAGACAUGGAACUGUCUCUCAAGUUAACUCAUCCUGGUUGGAGCAAGGCAUUUGGUAGUUUUCACCUCAAUCAACUGUUUGGAUUUAGAACUGUGUGGGUGCCUAAUUUUAACACAGUAUGUUAAUUCCUGUGAAAAUGUCCUCAUGGGAUUCUAGUUUGAGGCAGUCUGGGUUUUUUCCAGUCCCUAGUGCAUGUAAAAGUGAAGACCAAGCUGGACAGAAAGAGGACAGGAUAAAUGGUGAGCUGUUAAAUCUGAAUUCCACCCUGUUGCUGUUGGCAGUGCGUCAGAGAGGCUCAUCCCGUGGUGCCUGACAGAAGGACUGCAGGUAUAUACAGGGGCAAUCCUGGGGAAACAAGGUAGACUGUGCCAGCAGGACUCCUAUGGUCUGCUAAAACAUGACUCUAAAACAAGCACUUCUGUUUCUGCAGUGUGAUGGGAGAUCACACCUCCUCAUGCAACUAACAUCGCUAGUGCAGCAGAGGUAUGCAAUAGGGGUCACGCCUACUGUACUUUACACCUAUUUUAUCCAUUGUAAGCUUAUUUAGCGGCUGUUCAAAGGCACUGGUGUGUCCUGGUUUAACCCCAGCCGGUAACUAAGGAUCAGGCAGCAUCUCCUCCCCUCCACCCAUCCCGGUGUAAUGGGGAGGAGAAUCAACAGUACAACUUGACGGUUGAAAUAAGAACAAUUUAGUAACUGAAACAAAUUAUAAAAAUAAUAGUAAAUAAUGAUAGUAAUGAUGAUAAAAAGAAAAAGAUAAGUGAUGCACAAUACUAUUGCUCACCACCUGCUAACCAAUGCCAGACCCUGUCUCCAGGCCCAAUCAGCCCUUCUGUGUAACUGGUAAUAAAAUUCCCCAGUUUAUAUUCUAGGAAUGGCAUUUUAUGGUGUGGAACAUCCCUUUGGCCAGUUCAAGUCACCUGUCCUGGCUAUGCUCCCUCCCUGCUUUUUUUUUCCCCUCCACCUCCUCACUGGCAGAGAAUGAGACACAAGAAAGUCCCUGAUGCAGGAUAAACACGACUUGGCAACAAUCAAGACAUGAAUGUGUUACCAAUAUUAUUCUUAUGUUGACAAUCCACAACACAGCACUGUGCCAGCUACUGAGAAGAAAUCAACUAUAUUCCAGCCAAAACCAGGACAUACUGGUGUUUAUUCAAAUCAGAUUGUGUUCUUAUACUCUGACCCCUCUCUAUGUCCAUUUAUACUAGCCAAAAUUACACUCAUACACUGUUUUAGAUAUUUUUUCUGUGUUUGAAAUACAAUUUUAAUAGGACACCCUCAGCAGAAGCAAAGAGGACUUUCAGUGAAAUUCCUUUCUCAGGCUGGUCCUGCAACUAAGAUUUCUUCCCCAUGAAACUUUAAUUGUUCAUAGACAAUUGGUGCUUUUGGUCUUGCCUUCUUUAUCUGCCCUAGUAGAAAAAUAGAUGUUGCCUAAAAGACCAAAUGAGCCUAAGCAUAAUUUAGAGUAAGUGUGGAAAUUGUUCAAAUACUCCUAUGAAAAAACCUUAUGAAGUAGCAGUGUAGAGAUCCCUCUUCAGGAUAUGUGACAUAAAAUGUAUAGUGAGGGAAAGUGAUCUUCAAAGUAGGUAGGUUAAAUAUAAUUUAGAAUGAAACAGUAUUUUAUGUAUGGCCUGAAAGCUGAGAGACAGUAAGUGUGAAACUCUUAAGUACAGUCUUGUUAGGCUUCUAAUGGAAGCAUGUCUUUUCCACAUAGAUAAAAUUCUGGAAUAAAUUCGAAUUGUAAUUGUAUAAAUAGAGCUUUGUAGCAAACUGGCCUUGGGCUGAAAAAAAAGCAUAACUUAUGAUUGUUAUUUCCACUCCAAAAUAAAUAGUGGCAAUUUCAUAACAAGACAUAUAUGAAAAAAGGAUUGUCCAUUGGUUGUUCUCAGGAUAAAAAUACUGAAUGAAUAAAUUAAUAAAAGAAUUAAGUUAGAAGAUAAGGAGGUGAAAGAGACAUUUCCUGUUGACUUCAGUCAGUGCUGUCAAGUCUGUGUGUUUCCAAUUUUUCUAUUCAUUGUUUCUUUUCUUGUUGUGUAAAGGAUGUCAUCCAGCUGCAUGUCUUAACUGAAAAUAGGUAACUGUAUGGAAAAUUACUAGCUUAACUUUAAUCACACAAAUGCAUACAUCCCCCUAUGUUACUGCUAAUUUCUUAUUACAGUGACUUUAAAAAGCUAUAAAAGUGCUACUGUCUGUGUUGGACAGUGAUCUGGCACACAUGCCUAAAAAAAAAAAGAACUCUUUCAUUCUGUGUAUUUUCCUGGUUAGGUGAAACCAGUUCUGGUUUUAAUCCUGUUAUAUGCACUGAAUCCUUAAUUUUUAACAAUAAGGUAGUUCUGUUAUUGCAUUUUCUCAGUUCUUUUAACAGUGACAUAUUUAUCCUUUUACCUUGACUGAAGGGGAACCCCUUCCUCAGCUGAGAAUAUACCAGUACUCUCUGAGAGUAAAUCCUUGUUGUUUAACUUACUGCAUGUGGACAACACAGAGUUUAGAAUAUUACUGGCCAACUGGUCAGGCUGUUUAAAGGCUAGAAUUUGCUUUAUGUUUAUCUGAGGUGCAGGUGUUUUCCCCUUUAAUGUGAAUAUGCAAUUAAUUAGCAAUUUUUUUACUAUGUCACUGAUAGUAUUAAGUAUUAAACUCUCCACAUGCCCAGUACAGGUGAUACAUUGUGUAGCACGUUUGCAAUCAAAUCAGAUGUUACUAAGCCUUGAAGAAGUCUCACCCAACCUUAUCAUUUGUAUUAAUUAUAUCUCUCCAUUAUUAUACCUUAUAUAACCUUUCUUCAUUCAUAGGUAAUCAUGUUCCAUGUAAACAGUUUUACUACUUUUCAGACCUCCAUACCUACAAUUCCCCAGGUGACCUGAUACAGAGCUUAGGAAAACAGUGUUUGUUUUGUCUGUGAAUAUCACUGUAAUUCAAUUACUUUUUCUUUGCAAGCCUUAGUUAAAAAUUGUGCUUCUUGAUCCAUACAUGGGGAUUAAUGCCCUCUUCUAAAAUUGCUACAUUUGCUGUUGUGUGUAUUAUUAUACAAUUUAGGUUUCUGUAAUGUUUUUGUCUCUCUUUAAACAAAAUAAAACAUUUGUCACAGAUGAAGUACCUGUCUUCUUAAUGGUCAUUCUCCCAACGACUGUUAAGACUGUGGCCUAAAUAUUCUUGUUUCCUUUUUCUCAUAUUUAUUUUUAUUGCUUGAGAAAUGCUAGCUCCCUGUUACUCAGUUUAUAGUGUAUUAGUAUCAUUAGGCUCUACCUAGUCUAAGAAAAUGUACAACCUAUGCUAUAAACUGACCUUGUAAAACAGACUUGCAGCCAUUAAUCUGUAUGUUUUUUUAAGCUAACUUGAUUACCAAAAAUACA